GUUUCCGUUUAGGUAAAAUGGAUAGAAUAAUAGUACUUACCUCAAAGGAUUGUUGAAGAGAAUCAACAAGAUGAUAUCCCUGAAGCACUGGGAAUAGUGUCUGGCACACAGCACUGAGCACACCGCGGCGCUAGAGAAGACCAGGAAAAAGGACCUGAGCCAGCUUGCCGUCUUAACAAAAAUUUCAAACUUUGCAAAGCGGUAUACCUUCUUAUUCUCCAGUUCAGUAUUGCCAGUGAAGUCAUACUGAACGCAGACAAGGAAAAGAAAGAAAAAGAAACUCAAUGAGAUAUGUUGUCAUCUUCCCUGUUUUAUGGAUGAAGUUCUAAGUAGAGGUUCGGAGAAGAUGUUCAGCCUCAGAACGUAGCCACCUUGCUGUGAGAAAGCCCAACCAUCUUGUACAGCGAGACCACAUGGAGAGGCGCAUGUGGAAAGGAACGGAGGCUACAAGCCGAUAGCCAGCAUCGACUGCCAGGCACGGAGAGUGAGUCUUCAGAUGAAUCCAGCCUCAGCCUAGAGUCUUUUGUCUCAGGCCCCAGACACUGUGGAGCAGGGACAAGCCAUCCCCACUGUGUCCCACCCGCAUUCCUGAUCCACAGAAUCUAUGAGCACAAUAAAUAGUUGCUUUAUG
rnacentral:lncRNA from 1 species